CUGUUGGAGUUGCUAGGUAACAGGCGGAACUCUGUUGGGGUUGCUAGGUAACAGGCGGAACUCUGUUGGGGUUGCUGGGUAACAGGCGGAACUCUGUUGGGGUUGCUAGGUAACAGGCGGAACUCUGUUGGGGUUUCUAGGUAACAGGCGGAACUCUGUUGGGGUUGCUAGGUAACAG